rnacentral:rRNA from 1 species
GAUUAACGCUGGCGGCGUGCAUAACACAUUCAAGUCGAACGGAAUACGGACUUCGGUCUGUGUUUAGUGGCGGACGGGUGAGUAACGCGUGAGUAAUCUGCCUCUGUGUGCGGGAUACCGUCUGGAAACGGACGUUAAUACCGCAUAACACAAGAGGACCGCAUGAUCCUCUUGUCAAAGAUUUAUUGCGCAAGGAUGGGCUCGCGUUGGAUUAGAUAGUUGGUGAGGUAACGGCCCACCAAGUCUGCGAUCCAUAGCCGGACUGAGAGGUUGAACGGCCACAUUGGGACUGAGACACGGCCCAGACUCCUACGGGAGGCAGCAGUGGGGAAUAUUGGGCAAUGGGCGAAAGCCUGACCCAGCGACGCCGCGUGAGGGAAGAAGAUCUUCGGAUUGUAAACCUUAGUCAACAGGGAAGAAGAAAGUGACGGUACCUGUGGAGGAAGCCACGGCUAAACUACGUG